GACUCUUUAAAAUGCUUUACAAAGCAUUUACAUGACAAUUUGUCAGUUGUUGACUUGGGUUUUUUAUAUGGAAUAAUUUUACUUUAAAAGGAAAUCUUUUUUGCAAACCAAGUAAAAUGCUAACUUCUAAAACUAGGGAAAAGUGAGACAGAGGGAAGGUUUGACUGCUAAAUGAAUGUAUGAAAAAGACAAACCACAGGUUUCUAAGACUGGGCUAGAAAGAAAAACAUCUAGAACAGUGUACUGACUGCAUGUAUCCAGGACAUUUGCCUUUGGGUGUUUUGGAUGGCUAGGUGCCUCUUAUGUAUUUCUCUCUUCUUUUGCAUCCACCUCUUUGGCAUUUUAAAUCCUGCUCACUUCCUAAGUGUUUUACCCUUACCUUCCUUUUGAGCUGCCUGUUUCGUGUGCAAGUCUCAGGACCUGUUUCUGUUUCAGAAGGACGUGAGAUGGGGAUAUGGAGGGUCUGAUCCCUCCAARGUGCUCCUCUGCUGUCAGGAGGCUGUGCCGUGGGGCUGUGACAGGAGCCAAACAACAGCUGCUCAUGGCUGACUGCAAAGAUUUCACAAGGAUUUAUUUUAUUUUAUGAUUUUAUUUUCAAGCUCCCUCAAAAACUGAUGGAGCUGCCCCACCUAAAUCAACCCUCAGCCUGCCCUCUCUGACUAGCAGUCUUAACUGGGAGUAAUGACCCUCUGGGUUUGUGCAGAGACACGGCACAGCAUCAUUUUACAACAACACUCACAAAGUGACCUCUGUAAGGCCCUCAUGAAGGAGCCAGGUGACUGGCUCCACUUUCAGCUCCAACCUGGCUUCACACAUCCUUUCAACCCCCAGUAAGAGCAUUCAGGAGAUUUGGCUCCAGACAGCAAAAUGUUCUGGUAAGUGAGGSAGAGCUCAGUCCAGCUUAGGCUCAGUUUGGGUCUUGUCUAAGACCCCGGGUGAUGGGUUUGGCACAGACCUGAUGUGCUGGAUAAAACCUGGUGCUUGGGCAGCCACCACAUCUUUGGCUGCUCUGAUCACUGCCCAGCACUGUGCUGGGUGAUGGUGCAAGGCUGGAAGUUGUAAGUUUGAAAGAGCAAGUCCAGCUGCCCAGAGCUCCUCUGCUCGGUCAGGUCAGUGCAGGAGGYGACAGCUGGGCUGGCAGUGGCUGCUCUGUGGUAGAAAUCAUCUGUCACAUCCUGAGGGAGUUUGCUCCCACAGUCGAACUACUGGAACCCGGGAAGUUCCCUGGGAUAUUUAAAUGCCAGGCUGAGGGCAGUGCUGGGGAUGAUUUUGGCUCWGUCACUGUUGAGUCAGUUGCUGGGACUUGUGGGCCAGGAGACUGUUUCAGGUACAGCCUUGGGCUAAUGCCUGAACAGCGGCUCUGCCAGCAGCCCUGGGAGGCUCUGAGCAGCCGUGGUGAACCUCCUGCCCUCUGCUCUGGAGGACAGGGUAGAAAACUUGAAGAUUUGGGAUCUGUGAUGGAGCCUCCUUGGUAGGAGGAGCCAAAACAAACCAGAGAAAGAAAUAUUAACACAACUGUGUUUGAUCUGACUGAGAAAUGUGUUCUCAAGGAUAAUAUGUGAGAAAGGCAUCAGAAAUUUUUCCUGCUAAAAAUUUCCCAUUGUCUUCUAAGGAGCGAAUACUUUGGUGURUAUUUUGUUUAGCUGGAUUCUUUUGCUAUGAUGGUCUGUCUACACUGACUAAAUUCCUGCAGUAAUGGCUCCAUGAUGCUGCAUUUAAAGAUUAUAAUACACUUAUAGCCCACUGAUUAAAAAAAAAAAAAAUAGAAGCAAGCAGCUGUAUAAAAGCCAGGUAUUAGAUAUUAAAGAAAAAUAAUUUACAGCUUACCACAAUCACAAUGGAUGAGAUUGACUCACUCAUGGGCUUUAGGACAUUUUUUCUAGUUUUUGUUUUAUGAGUCUGUACACGAAGGAUGUUAGCUCAGUUGGAGAUUUUCUCUUUUACUCUAUGCCAAGGUUUUCAGAAGUGACUAAUGACUUUGGGUGCUUAACUGGAAACAUUGUAAUAACGCCUGAAUUUCAGAAUGGCUGAGAACCCAUCAUCUGAAAUUUAAGUCCUUUUAUGGUCGUUUAAAUUCAGCUCUCAGGAUUGAGAUCCUCUAAUUCAUCAGGAACUCUUGAAAAGCUUAGAAGUUAUGGAAAUAUAUUAAAAAAUUUAAGAUGCAAUUUCCUCCUUAAAUGCUUCCCCACGCCAAAUUUUCCAUGUCCCAAUAUGUGUGGAAUUAGAAGAAAGAAAUUGGCAAUUAUUGAAUGCAAUAUGCUUUAAGUUUAUGAUAAAGAAAACAUAGUGUUCAUUUCCUUACCACAGUGUGGUAGCCCUGCUUUUCUGAUGAAUUGUGAUAGCCAUAACCUCGUUGUUAAAGAGCACUGUGUCAAUUCUCUAGAUCUUCAACAUGAAUCAGUGAAAUGGUUCAGGGAAUUCAGCAUUUUUUUUUUUUUUUUUUGCAAAGGUGGACACAACUCUGUUGUCUCUAUAUGGGGAGGAAUGAUUCACGGGACAUAGCGAGCACAAGAGGCUCGGCAUACCCGGGAACAAACAUCACACACAAGAUGGCAAUACUCUUUAUUUUUAUAGUMUUUUUAGACUUUUUAUUUAAUAGACUUUCUGGUGCUGUGCUGCCAGAAACCCACAUAACCCAAAGUUACAAAGUGGGCACACAUUGCCUUUCRUUAACAUUCUCUUUGCAGACACCGAGUCAGAUCAGUCUUUGUGCAAACUACCACCACUACCACUUAAAUUGUGCUAUCUGACRCCAGGUGGGAUGAGGAUUUCAUUGCUCACUGGGAGGUGAAACCUUCCCUCAGACAACUGGAGAACUCUGGCUGAUCAUCUCAUAAAAAACAGCUCUUGCAUCAUGUGCAGAAUAGAAGGAAGUGAAUCUCUUAAAGGGAUUGUAAGUUUUACUCUGUUUAGCCAGGCUGUUACCCACAUCUUAGAUUAGAUCUCAUCUUUUUAUGUUUCCCUGCAGGUUUGCUUUGACUGUCUCCCCAUUUUCCAACAAACACUCUCAGAGACCACUGGGCAGUAACUGAGGAAGUCCCUGGGAACUUUUCCCAGCAAGUCUGAUCCGUGGCAUGCGGGAUGUGCAGGACUUGCCCGGGAUCACAUGCUCCCAGAUACACAGGGCACAUGGAUGGCUGUUCCCAGAAGUGGAUGCCAAGAAGGAAACUAGUGAGGGGCAUGGGAACAGCCGUGUGACUGCAGCCCACGGCAGCAGUGGGACACUGAGGGCUACAGCUGGACUGUGAGAAAUGGAGCAGCAUGCUUGGUUUUAAGUGAGAAACCCAAAUGCUUGUCUAAAGCAUGCUGGACAUCACUGAGCACCCAGCUUUACAGUGACAGUGCUGCACAGAGGUGCUGCAAAUCCUUUAUCUCUGCCUGACUGAUCUUUCAUCRUCACCUGCAUGGUCCUGAAAAUUUAGCUCCAGGCAAGGACAGAAGAGUGACCCUCCUGCAGCGUGUUUUAUUGCAAUCCAGCAAGACACACUUUGUGCAACACCAUCUGAGGMCAGGAUGUCCAGGACAUUGCUGCCCACAUCAGUUCCUCUUGUGGGGCAGGCUCCASUCUUCCUGACUGUGCCAGAUCCUCUCAGGUCCUAAAUUGCUUUCAAAGCGAUGGUGCAUCAUUCCCCCCUCAGCCCGGCCUGGGAGCGGYGGGACAGCCUGUGCAGCCUCCAGAAGAUGGUGCCCUGCUGUUAGGAACAAUGCUGCGAGCGCAGUCAUUCCAGUUCACUGGCACAAUGUCACACAAAACGCUUUGUGUCUGUCAGCACAUUCCUGGAAGGUCACAGUGAAUGAUGAAUGCUCCUGUGUAGGAGCUGAGGAGGGUUUGGGUAUUUUUUUUCUUCUUUUUUUUUUUUCCCUUUUCACCAUGAAUUGCAUCACUUGGCAGUCUCUUGGCUUCAUUCAUUUGACUCCUGUGGUUACAAACCUUUCCCAAUUGUUGUGAGCCUGCUUCCUCCACAACCCCUCUGUGGYCAAAGCAGGAUAUUCAUGACUGACUGCCCUGGAGAAGCUGGAUGACUUCCAGCUACUUUCCACAGCAGAGUUGCUCACUUCCCUCCCCCCGAGGGCUGAAAUAUCCUGUGGUUCUGGUUAGCUUUCUCUCCGGAUGCACAUCAGCUAAAGCAUAUGCAUCAUCAUGUGAUAGCCAAGGUUGUUUCAGCACAGCUAAUUGUGACAGAGGCUUUAUUUAGAUGCCAUGUAUAAAAAGAUGUGUAUGGCACUCCAGUGUGAAGUCAGAAGGAUAUUUGACUUGAUCCUGAAUGAAAAGCUAAUUUUAACUGGCAUGCAACAUUGGAAUUCUCCAUUGAGCUUUGCACAUAUGUCUAAGAUGUUUAAAUAAUUCCA